UACAGAGGUGGCAAGCGUUGUUCGGAAUUACUGGGCGUAAAGGGCGCGUAGGCGGUUCGUUAAGUCCUGUGUGAAAUCCCCCGGCUCAACUGGGGAACUGCACAGGAAACUAGCGGGCUUGAGUUCGGGAGAGGGAAGCGGAAUUCCGGGUGUAGCGGUGAAAUGCGUAGAUAUCCGGAGGAACACCGGUGGCGAAGGCGGCAUCCUGGACCGGUAUUGACGCUGAGGCGCGAAAGCUAGGGGAGCAAACGGG
rnacentral:rRNA from 1 species